GCGUCAGUAGCUCAAAGGAUAGAGCCCCGGUCUUCUACACCGACUGUUGCGAGUUCAAAUCCCGCCUGACGCACCA
rnacentral:tRNA from 1 species